rnacentral:sRNA from 1 species
CCUCUUCGAUCUGCUGCGGGCAGAUGAAGUGGAUGUGCGUGUCGAUGCCGCCGGCGGUGAGGAUCAUGCCCUCGCCGGCGAUCACCUCGGUGCCGGCGCCGAUGGCGAUGUUCACCCCGGGCUGGAUGUCCGGGUUGCCGGCCUUGCCGAUGGCCUGGAUGCGCCCGUCCUUGAGACCGACGUCGGCCUUGACUACGCCCCAGUGGUCGAGGAUCAGCGCGUUGGUGAUCACCGUGUCGACCACCUGCGCCGCGCCCAGCUGGCUCUGGCCCAUGCCGUCGCGGAUG